UGUUGUUGAGGAAGAUAAUGACGGUACUCAACAAGGAAGUGACGGCUAACUACGUGCCAGCAGCCGCGGUAAAACGUAGGUCACAAGCGUUGUCCGGAAUUACUGGGUGUAAAGGGAGCGCAGGCGGGAAGACAAGUUGGAAGUGAAAUCCAUGGGCUCAACCCAUGAACUGCUUUCAAAACUGUUUUUCUUGAGUAGUGCAGAGGUAGGCGGAAUUCCCGGUGUAGCGGUGGAAUGCGUAGAUAUCGGGAGGAACACCAGUGGCGAAGGCGGCCUACUGGGCACCAACUGACGCUGAGGCUCGAAAGUGUGGGUAGCAAACAGGAUUAGAUACCCUGGUAGUCCACACUGUAAACGAUGAUUACUAGGUGUUGGAGGAUUGACCCCUUCAGUGCCGCAGUUAACACAAUAAGUAAUCCACCUGGGGAGUACGACCGCAAGGUUGAAACUCAAAGGAAUUGACGGGGGCCCGCACAAGCAGUGGAGUAUGUGGUUUAAUUCGACGCAACGCGAAGAACCUUACCAAGUCUUGACAUCCUGCGACGSWSMURGAAACAGGUCUUUCCUUCGGGACGCAGAGACAGGUGGUGCAUGGUUGUCGUCAGCUCGUGUCGUGAGAUGUUGGGUUAAGUCCCGCAACGAGCGCAACCCUUAUGGUCAGUUACUACGCAAGAGGACUCUGGCCAGACUGCCGUUGACAAA
rnacentral:rRNA from 1 species